rnacentral:rRNA from 1 species
AUGAACGCUGGCGGCGUGCUUAACACAUGCAAGUCGAACGAUGAAGCCCAGCUUGCUGGGUGGAUUAGUGGCGAACGGGUGAGUAACACGUGAGUAACCUGCCCUUGACUCUGGGAUAAGCCCGGGAAACUGGGUCUAAUACCGGAUAGGAGCGCCUGUCGCAUGACGGGUGUUGGAAAGAUUUUUCGGUCAUGGAUGGACUCGCGGCCUAUCAGCUUGUUGGUGAGGUAAUGGCUCACCAAGGCGACGACGGGUAGCCGGCCUGAGAGGGUGACCGGCCACACUGGGACUGAGACACGGCCCAGACUCCUACGGGAGGCAGCAGUGGGGAAUAUUGCACAAUGGGCGGAAGCCUGAUGCAGCGACGCCGCGUGAGGGAUGACGGCCUUCGGGUUGUAAACCUCUUUCAGUAGGGAAGAAGCGAAAGUGACGGUACCUGCAGAAGAAGCACCGGCUAACUACGU